ACGAGUGAGUAACACGUAAGUAACCUGCCCCCGAAUGGAGAACAACCAGUCGAAAGAUUGGCUAAUACUCCGUACUAUCCCAUGAAGGCAUCUUCGAGGGAUGAAAGCCGUAAGGCGAUCGGGGAGGGGCUUGCGGCCCAUCAGCUAGUUGGCGGUGUAAUAGACCACCAAGGCUAUGACGGGUACCCGGCCUGAAAGGGCGGACGGGCACGAAGGCACUGAGACACGGGCCUU
rnacentral:rRNA from 1 species